rnacentral:rRNA from 1 species
AACGAACGCUGGCGGCAGGCCUAACACAUGCAAGUCGAGCGAGGACUUCGGUCCUAGCGGCGGACGGGUGAGUAACGCGUGGGAACGUGCCCUUUGCUUCGGAAUAGCCCUGGGAAACUGGGAGUAAUACCGGAUGAGCCCUUUGGGGGAAAGAUGUAUCGGCCAAGGAUGGGCCGGCGUUGGAUUAGGUAGUUGUUGGGGUAAUGGCCUACCAAGCCGACGAUCCAUAGCUGGUUUGAGAGGAUGAUCAGCCACACUGGGACUGAGACACGGCCCAGAAUCCUCCGGGAGGCAGGAGUGGGGAAUCUUAGAAAAUGGGGGAAACCAUGAUCGAGCCAUGCCGCGUGAGCGAUGAAGGCCUUAGGGUUGUAAAGCUCUUUCAGCUGGGAAGAUAAUGACGGUACCAGCAGAAGAAGCCCCGGCUAACUCCGUG